AAACCAAUACAAAUAUAUGUUAUACCUAGCCUCUGGUCUCUCUCUCUCUCUCUCUCUCUUUUUUUUUUUUUUUUUU
rnacentral:ribozyme from 1 species